GGUUCGAUCAUGGCUCAGAUUGAGCUGUGGCAGGAUGCUUUACACAUGCAGGUCGAACUGGCACGGGCUUUACGGUCUGAUGGCGAGUGGCAACAAACAGGUGGUAUUAAUGUAUCGGAACGUGCUGUGUGGGGGAUAACUACCAUGAAGCGUAGCUGUAUACCGCAUGCCCUUCGGGGAAAGCGGGGACCUUCGGGCCUCGCCACUAUUGAGCUUGAAGCCAUUAUCGGUUAGCUAGUUGGUGGAGUAACGGCUCCGCAAGUGACGUCGUAGCUGGUUUGGGGACGACCAGCACACUGCAGGACUGAGACGGCCCAGACUCUGCGGGAGGCAGCAGUAGGGAAAUUUUGGACAAUGGGGGAAGCCUGAUCCAGCCAUCCCGCGUGUGCGAUGAAGGCCUUCAGUUUGUAAACACUUUUUAACGCGAAAAAAACGGCGGGAUAAUACUGAUGCAACACAGCAGUACCUGCCAGAACAAGCACCGGCUUCAACUACGUGCCAGCAUUACCGCAGCGGUAAUACCGCGUAGGGGUAUAGCGUUGUCUGGAGUACUGGGCGUACGGCGACGCACCCGGGCAGUUGGAAAAGAAGAUGCUGAAAUCCCAGAGCUUGUACUUUGGAACUGCAUUUUAACUACCUGAGCUGGAGAGUGUCAGAGGGGUGGAAUUAUUCACGUGUAGCAGUGAAAUGCGUAGAUAUGCGGAGGAACACCGAUGGCGAAGGCAGCUCGCAGGAUAACACUGACACUCAUGCACGAAAGCGUGGGAGCAAACAGGAUUAGAUACCCUGGUAGUCACGCCUAAACGAUGUCAACUGGCACUGUUGGGGUAUUCGGGCCUUGGUAGCGCAGCUAACGCGUGAAGUUGACCGCUGGGAGGUACGGUCGCAAGAUUAAGGCUCAAGGGAAUUGACGGAGACCGCACAAGCGGUGGAUGGUGAUGUGGAUUAAUUCGAUGCAGCACCGAAAACCUUGCCUACCGCAGCAUGUCUGGAAUCCCGAAGAGAUUUGGGAGUGUCUCACUGAGAACCGGGAACACAGGUGUUUUGCAUGGCUGUCGUCAGCUCAUGUCGUGAAUGUGGAUUAGUCAAAGCGCCGGCGCAACCCUUGUCAUUAGUUGCUACGAAAAGGCACUCUCAUGAGACUGCAAGUGAAACCGGAGAAGGUGGAGAUGACGUCAAGUCCUCAUGGCUGCUAUGGUAGGGCUUCACACGUCAUGCAAUGUGGUCGGGACAGAGGGUCGCCAACCUACGAAGGCCAAUCCCAGAAACCCGAUCGUAGUCCGGAUCAGUCUGCAACUCAACGUGAGAGAAUGUCAGAAUCGCUGUCGCGGAUCCCAGCAUGUCGCGGUGAAUACGUUCCGGGUCUUGCACACCGCCCGUCACACCAGCAUGGGAGUGGGUUUACCCAGAAGUAGUUAGCCUGCCGUAAAAUGUUGGUAGGAUUCAUGGCUGGGGUGAAGAAGUCGCAACAAGGUAG
rnacentral:rRNA from 1 species